CAAAACUUUCAACAACGGAUCUCUUGGUUCUCGCAUCGAUGAAGAACGCAGCGAAACGCGAUAGUUAAUGUGAAUUGCAGAAUUCAGUGAAUCAUCGAGUCUUUGAACGCACAUUGCGCCCAUUGGUAUUCCGAUGGGCACGUCUGUCUGAGC
rnacentral:rRNA from 1 species